rnacentral:rRNA from 1 species
AUACGGAGGGUGCAAGCGUUGUCCGGAUUUAUGGGGUUUAAAGGGUGCGUAGGCGGCUUGACAAGUCAGUGGUGAAAUCCUCCCGCUCAACGGGAGAACUGCCAUUGAAACUGUAAGGCUUGAGGACAGUCGAGGUAGGCGGAAUUUAUGGUGUAGCGGUGAAAUGCAUAGAUACCAUAAAGAACACCGAUAGCGAAGGCAGCUUACUAGACUGUAUCUGACGCUGAGGCACGAAAGCGUGGGGAGCGAACAGGAUUAGAAACCCCAGUAGUCC